AACGAACGCUGGCGGCAGGCUUAACACACGCAAGUCGAGCGCCCCGCAAGGGGAGCGGCAGACGGGUGAGUAACACGUGGGAAUCUACCCAUCCCUACGGAACAACUCCGGGAAACUGGAGCUAAUACCGUAUACGCCCUUUGGGGGAAAGAUUUAUCGGGGAUGGAUGAGCCGGCGUCGGAUUAGCUCGUGGGUGGGGUAAAGGCCUACCAAGGCGACGAUCCGUAGCUGGUCUGAGAGGAUGAUCAGCCACACUGGGACUGAGACACGGCCCAGACUCCUACGGGAUGCGGCAGUGGGGAAUAUUGGACAAUGGGCGCAAGCCUGAUCCAGCCAUGCCGCGUGAGUGAUGAAGGCCUUAGGGUUGUAAAGCUCUUUCGCCAGGGACGAUAAUGACGGUACCUGGAUAAGAAGCCCCGGCUAACUUCGUGCCAGCCGCCGCAGUAACAC
rnacentral:rRNA from 1 species